GUAGGUGAACCUGCGGAGGGAUCAUUACAAGAGAUGGCGGGCCUCCGUGUCCCCGUCCCCAACCCAUCGUUGACCAAAACCUUUUGCCUCGGGGGCAGAGCGUCCGCCGCCGCCCCCGGAGGACCACCGAACGCUGUCUCUGUACGUCGGAGUCUUGAUUAAAUAAAUGAAAACUUUCAACAACGGAUCUCUUGGUUCUG
rnacentral:misc_RNA from 1 species